CCCCACCCACCCCGCUCGGCCUUACCUUGUGGAGCAGAUAGAGCCACGGGACAGGAUUCGCUCCCCACCCCAUUCUCCUUCACACACGGGCACAGCAACGGCGAUUGUGCUCUGGCAAUAUCUCCACCAACGGCCUCGAGCUCGACGGGGGUGUCUCCGUGUGGAUGGUUCUGUCAUCCCAGUGGAGUUCCAGGAUUCCAUGAGUGCAGCAGGUUUACACAUCGACAAGGCAGGCGAAGAAAAGGAAGACGGAGAUGGAGACAGAUACGAGGUGUGCUCUGAAACUACGAGUGGCUAGAGUAGACACGGAGGGGUUAGUAAGAAAACUUUUCUAUGUAUUUGCUCAUGUAAUUUUGCGGGUGUUCAGCAAGUGAUCCUGCGUCGUAGGUGUGUUGUCUAGCUCACUUUGGCAGGUAAAAAUGAACUUUUGGUUUCAGUUAGGAUGUGCGUUAGCUUUAGUACCUCUGUUGGGCGAAUAUGGUUGGAUUUUGCCGAAUCAGUGUACACCUGCAAAAAUGGAAAAAGUGCUGGAUUGGGUUUGGAUUUCAGUAUAUAUGUUGCAACGUUGUAUUUGGUGA